rnacentral:lncRNA from 1 species
CCAAAACAUCCUAGGUACUCCUAGGGAGCCCUUUUCAUACUUGUUGUAAGGUUGUUGUUUUUUUUUGUGAAAAUUUAUUGUGCAAACAUGAUUGAAGAGAUGAGAAGAGAAUAUACAAGUUUAUUUACAUUUUGUGUUUGGUUGGAUAAACCCAUUGCCUACGUACCAUCUUAAAAAAGAUUAGGAUCAAAACCUCGUAGUUCGGGGGUAAAAAUCUCAAAAAAUAAGUGGGUGAAUUGAUUGA